rnacentral:rRNA from 1 species
GACGAACGCUGGCGGCGUGCCUCAUACAUGCAAGUCGAACGCAGUGGGGACGGGUGAGUAACACGUGGGUAACCUCCCAUCAGAGGGGAUAACACUUGGAAACAGGUGCUAAACCGAUACUGAUGGAUGAACCCGCGGUGCAUUAGCUAGUUGGGGAGGUAACGGCUUACCAAGGCCACGAUGCCUAGCCGACCGUAGCGGUGGAUCGGCCACACGGGGACUGAGACACGGCCCAGACUCCUACGGGAGUCAGCAGUAGGGAAUCGUCAGCAAUGGACGAAAGUCUGACCGAGCAACUCCGCGUGAGUGAAGAAGGUUUUCGGAUCUUAAAACUCUGUUGUUAGAGAAGCGGUAUCUAACCAGAAAGCCACGGCUAACUACGUGCCAGCAGCCGCGGUAAUUC